UUUAACAAACGAAAUUAUUAAGCGAGUUUUUAGAAUUGAGACCUUAAUAAAUCCGUAACGGAAAACCGAUUCCAGUUUUGGAAUCUUUAAUUAAUUAUAAUCAUUUUUUGAUUAUAAAAAAAUUAAAGUUAAAGAGUGAAUUGAAACAUCUUAGUAGCUCAUAUAAAAAAUCAACCGAGAUUUUGUUAGUAGUGGCGAACGAACGCGAUAAUGAACCUUUUUAUUUUUUUGAAAUCAGAUUUGAAUUAUACCAAAGAAGGUUAUAGUCCUGUAAAAUCUAGUUUGUAUAAAUAAAAAAUUUAUGAGUAAGACAAUUUACGUGUUAUAUUGUUUUAAAGUAGGUGGACCAUCAUCUAAGUUUAAAAAUAUUUAAUAAUCGAUAGUGAAAAGUACCGUGAGGGAAAGGUGAAAAAGAGCUUUGCGAAGUUGAAAUCAGAACUUGAAACUUAUUGCUAACAAACGCUCAGAGCUUAAAAAAGUAAUGAAGGUACCUUUUGCAUAAUGGGUCAACGAGUUUAUUAUUGUAGCAAGCUUAAUAAAAUAAUAAAAGUAGGCGAAGAGAAAUCGUAUUUUUAAUAGUGGUUUUAAUUAUUAAAAUAAGUAAACGUAGUUAAAAAGUUAUAAUAAUAAUACCCGAAACUAAGUGAUCUAACCAUGACCAGGCUGAAAAUUAGAGCUGUAAAGUUCGUUGGAGGGCCGAACCAGUGUAUGUUGAAAAAUACUUGGAUGAGUUGUGGUUAGGGGUGAAAGGCCAAUCAAAUUUAGAGAUAGCUGGUUUUCUGCGAAAUAUAUUUAAGUAUAGCGUUUAAAAACUUUUUUUUGAGGUAGAGCACUAAUUGAUCGAGGGGGGUGUCAAACCUUACUGAACUCAGAUAAACUCCGAAUGCAAAAAAAAGGAUUUUAAGCAGACAGACGUUGAGUGCUAAGAUUCAUCAGUCAAGAGGGAAACAGCCCAGAUUGUUCGUUAAGGUCCAUAAAAAUAGUUAAGUGAAUAAGAAGGUGAAAAAAUAAAAACAACCAAAAGGUAGGCUUGGAAGCAGCCAUCCUUUAAAGAAAGCGUAAUAGCUCAUUGGUCUAAUUUUUUUGCGUCAACAAUGUUGAGGGCUUAAACUAUUUACCGAAGCGGCAAACUUUUAAUUAAUUUUAGAAGUGGUAGCAGAACGUUCUGUAUAUUAGUGAAGCAAAUUGGUGACAAUUUGUGAAGAUAUCAGAAGUGAGAAUGUUGACAUAAGUAGCGAAAAACAACGUGAAUAAUAAUAUCUAACUAGAUAAUAAAACGUUGUCGCCGUAAGUCCAAGGUUUUUGAGGGAAGGCUAAUCCUCCUUGAAGAAUGAAUAAUUCAAAAUAAAACGGUCCCUAAGAGAAUAGUGAAAACUUUGAUUCGAUGGGUUGAUUUUAAUUUUUAAAUCUGUUAUUGGAAGAUGACGAGUUUUGUAAAUUAUACAUAUUUUUUUAAUUAAAAAAUGGUUUUUGAAAAGCUCCAGGAAAAAGUCCCAAAAACAAACCGUACUGUAAACCGACACAGGUGGACGAGUCGAGUAGACUAAGGCGUUUGAGAUAACUAUGUUAAAGGAACUCGGCAAAUUGGCUCCGUAACUUCGGGAGAAGGAGUGGCUUUUUAUGGGUAACCAUUAAUAGUCGACACAAAAUCGAAGACAGCAACUAUUUAGUAAAAAUACAGGUCAUUGCUAACUCGUAAGAGGACGUAUAAUGACUGACACCUGCCCGGUGCUAAUCGUAUAAGGGGAGAAGUUUUGGCUUCAAACUGAAAUCCUAGUAAACGGCGGCUAUAACUCUGAUGGUCCUAAGGUAGCGAAAUUCCUUGGCACCUAAUUAGUGUCCUGCAUGAAUGGUGUAAUGACUGUCUUACUGUCUCUAACAUAGACUCAGCGAAAUUGAAUUCCUCGUGCAGAUGCGGGGUACCUGCGACUAGACGAUAAGACCCCAUGCACCUUUACUAUACCCAUCCAUUGCAGUAAUAAAAUUUAUGUGUAGAAUAGGCGGGAGUUUAUGAAGUUUUUACGUAAGUAAAUUGCUGAAACACCUUUGAAAUACCGCCCUUAAAUUUUGUUAUCGCUCAUCUUUUGCAAAAAUAAGAGACAUUGUUUGGUUGGUAGUUUGACUGGGGCGGUCGCCUCCUAAAGAGUACCGGAGGCGUGCUUAAGGUAAGUUCAAGCCACUCGAUAGUGGUUAGAGUGCAUAACGGUAUAUACUUGCUUGACUGUAAGAUUGACAAAUCGAACAGGGACGAAAGUCGGUCGUAGUGAUCUGGUGACUCUUUAUGGAAGGGUCAUCACUCAACGGAUAAAAGGUACGCUGGGGAUAACAGGCUAAUAAUUUCCUAGAGACCAUAUCGACGAAAUUGUUUGGCACCUCGAUGUCGGCUCAACGCAUCCUGGGGCUGUAAGUGGUCCCAAGGGUUUGACUGUUCGUCAAAUAAUGCGUUACGCGAGCUGGGUUUAGAACGUCGUGAGACAGUUUGGUCCCUAUCUAUCGUAGGCGUAGAAAAAUUGAGAAGAUUAGAUCCUAGUACGAGAGGACCGGAGAACGUGAAUCACUUGUGUAUCAGUUGUUUUAAUAAAAGCACCGCUGAGUAGCUACAUUCAUAACAGAUAAUCGCUGAAAGCAUCUAAGCGAGAAGCUGAAACCCUUCGAGAUAAAUUUUUCCAAAUUUGUGAAAGACUAUCACUUAAAUAGGCUUAAUGUGUUUUUUAUUUGUAAAAGUAAUUUUAGCAUAUAAGUACUAAAAAAUUUUAACAAUAUAAUUU
rnacentral:rRNA from 1 species